AGCUAGUUGGUGAGGUAAUGGCCCACCAAGGCAACGAUCGGUAGCCGGACUGAGAGGUUGAACGGCCACAUUGGGACUGAGACACGGCCCAGACUCCUACGGGAGGCAGCAGUGGGGAAUAUUGCACAAUGGGGGAAACCCUGAUGCAGCGACGCCGCGUGGAGGAAGAAGGUCUUCGGAUUGUAAACUCCUGUUGUUGAGGAAGAUAAUGACGGUACUCAACAAGGAAGUGACGGCUAACUACGUGCCAGCAGCCGCGGUAAAACGUAGGUCACAAGCGUUGUCCGGAAUUACUGGGUGUAAAGGGAGCGCAGGCGGGAAGACAAGUUGGAAGUGAAAUCUAUGGGCUCAACCCAUAAACUGCUUUCAAAACUGUUUUUCUUGAGUAGUGCAGAGGUAGGCGGAAUUCCCGGUGUAGCGGUGGAAUGCGUAGAUAUCGGGAGGAACACCAGUGGCGAAGGCGGCCUACUGGGCACCAACUGACGCUGAGGCUCGAAAGUGUGGGUAGCAAACAGGAUUAGAUACCCUGGUAGUCCACACCGUAAACGAUGAUUACUAGGUGUUGGAGGAUUGACCCCUUCAGUGCCGCAGUUAACACAAUAAGUAAUCCACCUGGGGAGUACGACCGCAAGGUUGAAACUCAAAGGAAUUGACGGGGGCCCGCACAAGCAGUGGAGUAUGUGGUCUAAUUCGACGCAACGCGAAGAACCUUACCAAGUCUUGACAUCCUGCGACGCACAUAGAAAUAUGUGUUUCCUUCGGGACGCAGAGACAGGUGGUGCAUGGUUGUCGUCAGCUCGUGUCGUGAGAUGUUGGGUUAAGUCCCGCAACGAGCGCAACCCUUACUGUCAGUUACUACGCAAGAGGACUCUGGCAGGACUGCCGUUGACAAAACGGAGGAAGGUGGGGAUGACGUCAAAUCAUCAUGCCCUUUAUGACUUGGGCUACACACGUACUACAAUGGCGUUAAACAAAGAGAAGCAAGACCGCGAGGUGGAGCAAAACUCAGAAACAACGUCCCAGUUCGGACUGCAGGCUGCAACUCGCCUGCACGAAGUCGGAAUUGCUAGUAAUCGUGGAUCAGCAUGCCACGGUGAAUACGUUCCCGGGCCUUGUACACACCGCCCGUCACACCAUGAGAGCCGGGGGGACCCGAAGUCGGUAGUCUAACCGCAAGGAGGACGCCGCCGAAGGUAAAACUGGUGAUUGGGGUGAAGUCGUAACAAGGUAGCCGUAGGAGAACCUGCGGCUG
rnacentral:rRNA from 1 species